CAGUGGACGCUGAGUUAGAACUUAACAGCUGAAAAUCCACCGCCUGACACGAUCGAAGAGG
rnacentral:sRNA from 1 species